rnacentral:lncRNA from 1 species
UAUUUGUGUAUAAUCUCUACGGAGCAGCCAUUGCAGAAACGAAUAGUAUGUGGAAGGCUCAUUUGAGAAAUACCUAGAACGACUAAGAGAUCCAAAGGAAAGUGCUGGCCAGCUGGAAAUAAGUGCUUUAUCAAUGAUGUACAAGCGAGACUUCAUUCUGUAUCGGUACCCUGGAAAGCCACCCACAUAUGCCACAGACAAUGACUUUGAAGACAAGGUGAGCAGAAGUGAGGGCAAUUUCCUCCUACCCCUGGUAUCUACUUACCUUCAG